CGCCUCGUGAAUUCAUCUCCGGGGGUAGAGCACUGUUUCGGCUAGGGGGCCAUCCCGGCUUACCAACCCGAUGCAAACUGCGAAUACCGGAGAAUGUUAUCACGGGAGACACACGGCGGGUGCUAACGUCCGUCGUGAAGAGGGAAACAACCCAGACCGCCAGCUAAGGUCCCAAAGUCAUGGUUAAGUGGGAAACGAUGUGGGAAGGCCCAGACAGCCAGGAUGUUGGCUUAGAAGCAGCCAUCAUUUAAAGAAAGCGUAAUAGCUCACUGGUCGAGUCGGCCUGCGCGGAAGAUGUAACGGGGCUAAACCAUGCACCGAAGCUGCGGCAGCGACACUGUGUGUUGUUGGGUAGGGGAGCGUUCUGUAAGCCUGUGAAGGUGUGUCGUGAGGCAUGCUGGAGGUAUCAGAAGUGCGAAUGCUGACAUAAGUAACGAUAAAGCGGGUGAAAAGCCCGCUCGCCGGAAGACCAAGGGUUCCUGUCCAACGUUAAUCGGGGCAGGGUGAGUCGACCCCUAAGGCGAGGCCGAAAGGCGUAGUCGAUGGGAAACGGGUUAAUAUUCCCGUACUUGGUGUUACUGCGAAGGGGGGACGGAGAAGGCUAUGUUGGCCGGGCGACGGUUGUCCCGGUUUAAGCGUGUAGGUGUGUGUUCCAGGUAAAUCCGGUUCACUUUAACACUGAGGCGUGACGACGAGGCACUACGGUGCUGAAGCAACAAAUGCCCUGCUUCCAGGAAAAGCCUCUAAGCAUCAGGUAACAUCAAAUCGUACCCCAAACCGACACAGGUGGUCAGGUAGAGAAUACCAAGGCGCUUGAGAGAACUCGGGUGAAGGAACUAGGCAAAAUGGUGCCGUAACUUCGGGAGAAGGCACGCUGACACGUAGGUGAAGUGAUUUACUCAUGGAGCUGAAGUCAGUCGAAGAUACCAGCUGGCUGCAACUGUUUAUUAAAAACACAGCACUGUGCAAACACGAAAGUGGACGUAUACGGUGUGACGCCUGCCCGGUGCCGGAAGGUUAAUUGAUGGGGUCAGCGCAAGCGAAGCUCCUGAUCGAAGCCCCGGUAAACGGCGGCCGUAACUAUAACGGUCCUAAGGUAGCGAAAUUCCUUGUCGGGUAAGUUCCGACCUGCACGAAUGGCGUAAUGAUGGCCAGGCUGUCUCCACCCGAGACUCAGUGAAAUUGAACUCGCUGUGAAGAUGCAGUGUACCCGCGGCAAGACGGAAAGACCCCGUGAACCUUUACUAUAGCUUGACACUGAACAUUGAGCCUUGAUGUGUAGGAUAGGUGGGAGGCUUUGAAGUGUGGACGCCAGUCUGCAUGGAGCCGACCUUGAAAUACCACCCUUUAAUGUUUGAUGUUCUAACGUGGACCCGUUACCCGGGUUGCGGACAGUGUCUGGUGGGUAGUUUGACUGGGGCGGUCUCCUCCUAAAGAGUAACGGAGGAGCACGAAGGUUGGCUAAUCCUGGUCGGACAUCAGGAGGUUAGUGCAAUGGCAUAAGCCAGCUUGACUGCGAGCGUGACGGCGCGAGCAGGUGCGAAAGCAGGUCAUAGUGAUCCGGUGGUUCUGAAUGGAAGGGCCAUCGCUCAACGGAUAAAAGGUACUCCGGGGAUAACAGGCUGAUACCGCCCAAGAGUUCAUAUCGACGGCGGUGUUUGGCACCUCGAUGUCGGCUCAUCACAUCCUGGGGCUGAAGUAGGUCCCAAGGGUAUGGCUGUUCGCCAUUUAAAGUGGUACGCGAGCUGGGUUUAGAACGUCGUGAGACAGUUCGGUCCCUAUCUGCCGUGGGCGCUGGAGAACUGAGGGGGGCUGCUCCUAGUACGAGAGGACCGGAGUGGACGCAUCACUGGUGUUCGGGUUGUCAUGCCAAUGGCACUGCCCGGUAGCUAAAUGCGGAAGAGAUAAGUGCUGAAAGCAUCUAAGCACGAAACUUGCCCCGA
rnacentral:rRNA from 1 species